rnacentral:rRNA from 1 species
GACGAACGCUGGCGGCGUGCCUAAUACAUGCAAGUAGAACGCACAGUUUAUACCGUAGCUUGCUACACCAUAGACUGUGAGUUGCGAACGGGUGAGUAACGCGUAGGUAACCUGCCUGGUAGCGGGGGAUAACUAUUGGAAACGAUAGCUAAUACCGCAUAAUAUUGAUUAUUGCAUGAUAAUUGAUUGAAAGAUGCUAUUGCAUCACUACCAGAUGGACCUGCGUUGUAUUAGCUAGUAGGUGAGGUAACGGCUCACCUAGGCGACGAUACAUAGCCGACCUGAGAGGGUGAUCGGCCACACUGGGACUGAGACACGGCCCAGACUCCUACGGGAGGCAGCAGUAGGGAAUCUUCGGCAAUGGACGAAAGUCUGACCGAGCAACGCCGCGUGAGUGAAGAAGGUUUUCGGAUCGUAAAGCUCUGUUGUAAGAGAAGAACGGGUGUGAGAGUGGAAAGUUCACACUGUGACGGUAUCUUACAAGAAAGGGACGGCUAACUACGU